CCUACGGGUGGCUGCAGUGGGGAAUAUUGCACAAUGGGGGAAACCCUGAUGCAGCGACGCCGCGUGAGUGAAGAAGGAAUUCGUUAUGUAAAGCCCUAUCAGCAGGGAAGAAAAUGACGGUACCUGAGUAAGAAGCCCCGGCUAACUACGUGCCAGCAGCCGCGGUACUACGUAGGGGGCAAGCGUUAUCCGGAUUUACUGGGUGUAAAGGGAGCGUAGACGGCAGUGCAAGUCUGGAGUGAAAGGCGGGGGCGCAACCCCCGGACUGCUCUGGAAACUGUACGGCUGGAGUGCAGGAGGGGUAAGUGGAAUUCCUAGUGUAGCGGUGAAAUGCGUAGAUAUUAGGAGGAACACCAGUGGCGAAGGCGGCUUGCUGGACUGUAACUGACGUUGAGGCUCGAAAGCGUGGGGAGCAAACAGGAUUAGAUACCCUAGUAGUC
rnacentral:rRNA from 1 species